CUGGUUUCUCUGACUUCAAAGCCAAACCAUGACCGCUUAGGUUAUUCCACCUCCAACUUCAUCUGGGCUGGGCUCAGCUCUCGAAGACCUCUGCGUUUGCAGUGGCAGAUCCUCCGCUCUUCACCAGAGAAAAGGACCCUUUGUGCCAAAAGGUUAUCAGAUGAGAGAAAGACCUAGAAGAGAAGGUAAAAGAAAGCCCUGCCAGAAAUAUAUCACUUAUUGCCAAUAAACUGCCUCUCCUCUGCUACAUCUGGGGAACCAGAACAGUGUGUUUGUUGCUGCUGCUGUUCUAAGCAAUGGUGUCAGCAUGUAGAAGCAGAAGGCUGCCUUUUCCAGGAAACCCAGCUCAGAGCCAACAAAGAGAGAGCUGAGCUAGGAGGAAACCAAGUCCGUUGGAUGCCUCUCCUGCUUUCCCUGCUUUCAUCCAUGGCGGAAAGGAGGUGUCAAUCUUUCAAAAGCCCCGCCCCCACCACACCUCCCCACCACAAAUAAGUGAGAGGAGAGUUCUGGAAAAGCAAGUGCCAGCUUGUCCAUUGGUACACUCAUCUGGGGAGAGGAGUCGGGAACUGCUAACGGAUGUGCCAGCUGCCGUGGAAACCCUGCCAGGCUCAGGCAUGGGGCUUUCAUGUCAACACUGUAACCCUCACUCUUGGCCUCAAACAUGGCAUGACUCGGGAGGCGAUCCUGGAACUCUGGGUAAAAAUGAGCCCCUUCCUUGGGGUAAAGCAGCUGUAUGUCACUUUACUUUCUGACUCAACACACAGGCAAGAUCCCUCUUUCUCUUGGGGUUGGAGGCUUUUGAAAUUCAGUUUUUCAUGGUUUAAGGACUAGAAACCAUGGUUACUUUUAAAGGGAUUCUCCCCCUCUUUCCAUUCUCCGCUUCCUCACUGUGAAAAAAAAUGCCCAAGGAAAGCAACAUAAGGAGGAGAGGGUUUAUUUUGCCUCCCAGCUAUGAGUGCAGACCAGCAUGGCGGAAGGGCUCUACCUGUGGCAGCAGCAGAGCGAAGCAGCUGGCCCUAGGUAUCUGUGCACAGGGAGCCGACAGAAACGAAUGCUGCCACUCAGCUCCAUUUCCUCCUCUUUUUUUCAGCUCAGGACACUAGUCCAUGAGAUAGCACUGACAAAAUUCAGGGUAUAUCUCCCCCCUUCAGUCAAACUUCCAUGGAAAUGGACUCUUGGACAUGCCCUGAGAGAUGGCUCCUGGGUAAUUCUAGGUCUAGUUGCAUUGACAAUGAAGAUUAACUGUCGCACCCGCCUCGACCAGCAAGGAAGACGCAAUGCUCAGACUCUUCUUUAAGCAGUUUAUUCAGAAACCUUGA